CGCACCUUGCGCUCUUGGGUUAUUCCUUAGAGCAUGCUUGUUUGAGUGUCGCGUACCUUCUCAAUCCCGCCCUUUUUUGCGAAAGGGUAGUCAUUUAGAGAAAUUUAAAUGAGUCAGGGUUGGAUCAUGACGUCUUGUCACUUUCAACUUUUUGAAAGGUAGACUGCGUUGAAAUACAAAAAGCUGUAUCCUAGAUUUGGCGGCUUGACCUAUUGUCAUAAGUUUAAAUACCUUUCAAUGGGAACGCUAGUCGGAAUGAGCUUAUCAUAAAAUUGAUAAUUAUAAACAUUGACCUCAAAUCAAGUAGGACUACCCGCUGAACUUAA
rnacentral:misc_RNA from 1 species